rnacentral:lncRNA from 1 species
AUAGCUGGCCUGAACAUCCAUCAUCCCAAAACUGCGCUAUAAUAGCUCAACAGUUCUCACUUCUAGAACUGUAUGUUCCUUUGAGUAGUUGGAUUGUGUAGCUACAGACAAAAAUGAGUAUCUAGUGAAUGUUAAUAUAUUGUAGGUUUAUAACCUAAGGCAUUAUUGUUAUAAAAAAUCAAUAAAACCGGUGGGAAGGGGAACGCACAUGCGAGGUGGGUAGGUGGAGAUGAAAUGAACAAAACGGCAUACAUAUUUCCCUUCAAUAGUAGCCUAAAAGAUCACUUGAACUUGUACCCCAAAUAGAGAAGACAUGAGUAUCAUACGGAACCCCUAAAUCCACAUCUAUUUUUGUCUAAAUCCAUAACGUCUAUCUUCUACUAAGAUCCAAAAGCAACCUUGACUUAUCCAAACUGAAAUUAGGGGAAAUUUUAUUUGUCAGAUUAUGAAAGAAGAAAACAACAUUCUUAUAAUAUUAAGACUUUGUUAGAGAAGAAAAGAAAGAAGAUUAGUGUGCCCCCUGUUAUGAUCAAGUUAUCAGCUAACCACCACUAAUAUCAUAGUUCGAAUUUUACUCUGCUCUAACAGUGAGAAAAACUAUAACUACAGUAAUCAGGAAAAUAAUUGGCACACCAAAUUCCCUCUAAAAGAUUUGCACACCAAGAGGGAAGAGCUAAAAACUUGAGACAUGAAAAAAUAUCAAAUCCUAUUGAAUCAUGUUUAUGAAUUAACUGUACCAAUGUAUGGCUACAUAUAAAUAGAAUAGCUAGAAAGCACAGCAGGUUGUACAGUUCAGAGGUGGAGUGGUCUAGGAACAACCUUGUGGCUGCCGCUGCACUGCCAAGGUUGUUUCCACGCUUGCAGCUACCAAGGACGAUGUCAAAACAGGAGGUCGCCUUAGAUUAGGCACCCGUGGCCGCGGUUGCGGAUGGACCGCUGCUG